GCCUCCGUGGUGUAGUGGUCUGCAUGCUCGACGCGUAAUCGAGAGGUACGUGGUUCGAUUCUCGGUGAAGGCG
rnacentral:tRNA from 1 species